GUUUCUGUAGUUGAAGUACAACGAUGGUUUUUCAUGCCAUAGGUUAUGGUUAGAGUCCUUACUGAAACU
rnacentral:tRNA from 2 species